CCAGGAAGAUCUUGUCACUGACACUGACACCAAGAUAACGGCUGCCAAGUGUGGGAGUUUUGCCGACCAUGUUACCUACACGAUGACGUCCCUGAUCGUUCCAGUUCUUGUACACCUGUUUAUGUAACGUCCCUCAAUUAGGCUCUUUGACGCUAAUGUUUGUUCCAAAUUCUUAUUUAUAUAAAAUUAUAACAUAAUAGCAUCUGCUGUGGCUAACUGUGACAUUAUGAGUGUUUGAAGGCUCAUGCUAUUUAAAUUUGAAAUUUGCGUCACCUUUUCCCAAUAUGUAUUACUGACAAUAGUUUUAAAAAAUUCGUGUUCGCUCUGCUGUGACUACUAAUGUUUUCCUAAGUCCGUGUUCUUCAUUCUUCAUAUAAAAACGGUUUGACUUAUUUGAGCAUCCACAUGAUUAUAUUCAUAAAAAGGUAAUUUCGGAAAAAUGAAAAUUGUUUGAUUGCCAUGUAUGACGUGGAUUAUAUAUAAUUCAUAUAACCACUGACGAACAAUGUGUGGUCAUACAAAUCUUGGGAUGUGUCUGAAUUUACAUCCUUGGUUCAGGUUUUGAUAGCUUAUGCCUUGUUAGCUGUUACUUGUUAGCUGUUUUUCGGACCUUGAAAAUAUGCAGGAUACUCAAAUGACUCAACCCACGUGUCCCGUACCCUAAUGAUGUGUUGAGCUUGCCAUGAUGGUUGUUCCACUGAAAUAAACGGUACUGUUCACGAAAU